rnacentral:rRNA from 1 species
GACGAACGCUGGCGGCGUGCCUAAUACAUGCAAGUUGAGCGCUGAAGGUUGGUACUUGUACCGACUGGAUGAGCAGCGAACGGGUGAGUAACGCGUGGGGAAUCUGCCUUUGAGCGGGGGACAACAUUUGGAAACGAAUGCUAAUACCGCAUAAAAACUUUAAACACAAGUUUUAAGUUUGAAAGAUGCAAUUGCAUCACUCAAAGAUGAUCCCGCGUUGUAUUAGCUAGUUGGUGAGGUAAAGGCUCACCAAGGCGAUGAUACAUAGCCGACCUGAGAGGGUGAUCGGCCACAUUGGGACUGAGACACGGCCCAAACUCCUACGGGAGGCAGCAGUAGGGAAUCUUCGGCAAUGGACGAAAGUCUGACCGAGCAACGCCGCGUGAGUGAAGAAGGUUUUCGGAUCGUAAAACUCUGUUGGUAGAGAAGAACGUUGGUGAGAGUGGAAAGCUCAUCAAGUGACGGUAACUACCCAGAAAGGUACGGCUAACUACGUG